GGGGGAGCCAUGGGGGGUGGGGGUGAGGUCUGGGGGGGUGGGGUGGGGGUGGGGAGGUCUAUUUGGGGGCACGCGUGGUGGGUUGGGGACAUAUGUGGUGGGUUGGGGACGUCUAUUUGGGGGCAUGCAUGGUGGGUUGGGGAUGGGUGGUGGGUUGGGGACGGGAUGGGUUGGGGAGGUCUAUUUGGGGGCAUAUCUGGUGGGUUGGGGACAGGAGGUGGGUUGGGGACACACAUGGUGGGUUGGGGAGGUCUAUUUGGGGACACGCGUGGUGGGUUGGGGACGGGGUGGGUGGGUUGGGGACAUAUCUGGUGGGUUGGGGAGGUCUAUUUGGGGGCAUAUCUGGUGGGUUGGGGACAGGGGGUGGGUUGGGGACACACGUGGUGGGUUGGGGAGAUCUAUUUGGGGGUAUGCGUGGUGGGUUGGGGACGGGUGGUGGGUUGGGGACACAUGUGGUGGGUUGGGGACGGGGGAUGGGUUGGGGAGGUCUAUUUGGGGGCACUCGUGGUGGUUUGGGGAUGGGUGGUGGGUUGGGGACACCUCUUGGGGACAUAUCUGGGUGAGGACAGCCCUUGGGGACACGUGAUGGGUCAGGGAGGUGUAUUUGGGGACAGGUGGUGGGCUGGGGACACCUAUUGGGGACACGGAUGGUGGUUUGGGGGCGGGUGAUGGGUUGGGGACACCGUUUGGGGACACAGGCGGUGAUGGGUGGGGACACCUCCGAUGGAGGCGGUUUGAUGGGGGGGCAGCCCUUUGGGGACACAGAGGAUGGGUUGGGGACCCCUCCCAGGGACUAAAAAGGGACAACUGCAGGGAUGAGGCCCAGCGGUCACCUCCCCUCGGUGACACCGAUGUCCGUAUGGGGCCACCUCCCCUUAUUGUCUCUACGGGGCCACCUCCCCUUGGAUGCACUGCCGUCCCCGUAGGGCCACCUCCCCUUAUUGUCCAUACGGGGCCACCUCCCCUCGGUGACACCGAUGCCCACACGGGGCCCCCACCCCUGGGUGACACCCACGUCCCCAUAGGGCCCCCACCCCUGGGUGACACUCAUGUCCCCAUAGGGCCCCCACUCCUGGGUGACACCCACGUCCCCAUAGGGCCCCCACCCCUGGAGGACACCCACGUCCCCAUAGGGCCCCCACCCCUGGGUGACACCCACAUCCCAUAGGGCCCCC
ensembl:lncRNA